CGUCUAUGAGAUGAUGUUCCACAUCCAGGUGUCUUUCUCCUUCGAGGUGGUUGGACUCUUAGUUGUUAUUGUUGUUGUUGCGAUUGAUUUUGUCUUCCACCUCUAACCAGUUGUGGCUGCUCCUCAUCUUUGUCUUCACUAUCGUCAUCAUCGUCAUCGUCAUCGUUUGUUUGUGAAGGCAUUGUCGGCUGAUAAUAUUGUUGAGAGUUGAAUGCCGAGAAUGGAGUAUUUGAAGUAGUGUCAAACAUUGAUGACAUUCC
rnacentral:lncRNA from 1 species